AAUCCUCCACCUCCCCUCCUAAGCUUCCAUGUGGCCGUACAUAGCAGUCAAAGGGAAGAGCAUACUACAAAACCCUUCUAGCUUCCGUUCUUUGUUCCCCUUUUAACCCCAAUAUCCCGACGAGAAGAAUCGGAAGAAAGAAAAAGAGGAAGAGGAAGCGGCCGUUUCGCUUCUUUUCUUUUCUCUUCUCUCCCUUUCUUGCUGGGUGGUGGCAGGCGGGACAUAUGGCCGCUGUCAACAGCGUAGCCUCUCCUUCGAGGUUUCUACCCCUUCCAUCCCGGCCCCGGCCUUCUUCCUUGCCCUCCACCUCCAAGCCCUGCCUCUCCUCCUCUAGAUUCCACGGGACCCUCGCCCCUCCUCCUUGGAGGCCCGACCGAGCGCGGAGGGAUCUGGCUGUCGCCGCCUCGGGGACGGCGGCGGAGGACCUGGACGUGAUCCCCGUGAAGAGCCCCGACUCAACGGACCGGCAGGACGGGGUCGUCGCCGUGGGUGCGGUGAGAGAGCAGGAGGACGAGGACGGCGGUGGGAGCAGCAGUCACAAUCAGGUUGGAGGAUUCGCCUUCGAGAACGGCGGGGUUGGUGGAGUGACUGGCGGCGGCGGCGGAAGCUUAUACUCUUCUCCGUUGUCUUCGUCUCUGGAAGAAGGUGAGGAUGUGGAGCGGCUGGUGGAUCGAGCGAUCAACGCCGCGAUCGUGCUUGCAGCGGGGACCUACGCCAUCACCAAGCUGCUUACCAUCGAUAGGGACUACUGGCAUGGGUGGACCCUUUAUGAGAUCCUAAGAUAUGCACCCCAGCACAACUGGACUGCUUAUGAGGAAGCUUUGAAAACAAACCCUGUUCUGGCCAAAAUGGUGAUAAGUGGAGUAGUUUAUUCUCUAGGGGAUUGGAUUGCACAGUGCUAUGAAGGGAAACCACUUUUUGAUUUUGACCGUGCUCGCAUGUUCAGAUCUGGUGUUGUUGGUUUUACUCUACAUGGGUCCCUUUCUCAUUACUAUUACCAAUUCUGUGAGUCUCUUUUUCCUUUCCAGGACUGGUGGGUGGUUCCUGCUAAAGUGUUGUUUGACCAAACUGCUUGGGCCGCAAUAUGGAACAGCAUUUACUAUGCAGUCCUGGGAUUUUUGCGUUUCGAAUCACCAGCUAACAUAUUCAGUGAACUGAAGGCUACAUUUUGGCCAAUGUUAACUGUUGGAAGCUUUGGCCCUUUGCCCACCUGAUUACUUAUGGUGUUAUACCAGUAGAGCAGAGACUUCUCUGGGUGGAUUGUGUGGAGCUGGUUUGGGUGACCAUUUUAUCAACUUAUUCAAAUGAGAAAUCUGAAGCAAGAAAUUCAGAGGCGAUGUCUGAGUCAAAUGCUACUCCACCUGCUGUUCCUGAGGAAUCGAUAAAGUAGAUGGAAAAACUGACCAUGUAUUGGCUGGAACGUUGUGGGAAUUAGCACCACAGAUUUUUGUUGGCUGGGAAAUGCAGCUAAAGCAGCCCCAGGAUCAUCAAGUGGGUAUAAGUUCCUUGAACCGUGGCAAUAGUUCUUUAAUGAGAACCGGUUUUGCCAGUUACAAGUCAGAUAGUAAUGCAGGAGUGAGCUGUUACGAGUGUAAAUAUUACAUGGCUUGUUGUAACAGUCAUACAAGGUUCAUUCAAAUAAGUAAUUUUUACAAGGUAUGUGUCUAAUAAUUAUCAAAGCUUCAUAUGGUUAUAUUGUGAGCUUGUUUUUUCUUUUCUUUUCUUUUUCCAUCCUGUGUGUGCAAUGAACAGGAGAUAAAAUUAAAACAGCUCGUCAUGGCUCGUGGGGUUUGAAAUUUUGGCCUUGCGGAGAAGAGGUAGACGAGUCUUCAGGCUAUAGCUGUAAUUCGAGAAAAGCGACCCAUAUGUUCAGCCUGUGGUUGUUGGGCCAUUACGCCAUACGUGUACUCUGGCUCCGUUUGGUUUGUAGUUCUGCCAUCAUUAAUUACCAAUUCUCGAUUCAUGGUGGAUGGGAUGAUGGAUGUGGAAGUUGUUAAGGGAGCACGUUUUGUUAAAAGAAUUGGGAAGCUAUUCUGAUGGAAA